GCUGCUACUGCCUGGGACACCUGUGGAAACUACUCAGCCAUUCUGACGCACGCACGGUGUGGAAGUAUGAAGGCAUUAACAUCACCUGGGAAAUCAGCAGCAGACAAUUCCCCCUGGGGCUACUCUGAACAUGUUCAACAAGAUGGACCUGCCAAUACAUGGAAUGAAAAAUGUCAGACUGACCCUCCAGUUGGAAUCAAUCUGUUCCUUUCAACUUUGAAGUUUGAAGAUUUGUUUGUCAUUUUCACUCACUCUGCAGGGUGACCAGCAGUUAAAACAGGACUGUCUCAGUUUUGCAACUCAGAGGCCCAUGUCCCAGGAAUCUCCUCGGGCACAGGAGGAUCCAUAACUCCUCGAUUUAUUAUAAUGGGAUGUGUUUACUUGGUAGAGAUCUGAAUGUGACAAUCUGAAAUGGAUAUUUAAUAUGGACCUAAUUGCGCCACAGACUUUUGUGUAAAAUCCAUAAAAAUGAAUAUCUAGGCUUCCAUACCUUAACUAGAAAUAGAAUUCACUAGAACCUUCAUAUCAUAAACCAGGAGAUCUAAAAAUGAACUUCAUCCAGUCUGGCUGGAACUAAUGGGAUUUUAAUUCCUUGAAGCACAAGAUGCCCCGAGAUGGCAAAGCUACUUAGUGCUCCUUCUAUUGUAUUUGACCUCAAGUCUGACCAUCGCCAAGAUACCCACUCUCCAAUAACCUCCAAGCUCUCUUUGCCUUGGAUCUCCUUGUUCUAACUCCAAGAAUCUACUGACUUCACUGGCUGCUAAAGCUCUGAAAGGUUCCUCUUAAUAACAACAGGGCAGGAGUGACUACAGCCAGAGCAACGCCACAGAAGACAGGAAACCAACUGCCUUCUGGCCUUCCACUGGCUCUGUAACUCUGGUUCCAUCACUAGCACAAUCUGAGCUUUGUUUUCCCAUCUCUAAGUUAGCAAGAGUAAUUACCUUCGCGCAAACUUGUUAUGAGCUGCAAAUAAGGUAACAUGGGGAAGUAAUUUAUAAAUAGAGGACAUGAUAAAAAUUUUAGUUGUUUUUCUUAAUAAUUAACGAGUCCUGUGCAAGUGUGUAAGUAAAUAGCAAGGUCAGUUCCCUGGGCUUCUUGAGGAAACAGGAGGGCAGGCAAAUCUCAGUGUUCACAGGUAACAAGCAACUUCACUCAUCACAGCUUUCUACAUGUUUGUCAAGCUGAGCCAAGGCUUCUAAACGCUACUCACUGAUGGACUGACCUGCAGGUUUCAGCCAACCGCAGCUUUCCAACCACCACUGAAUAUCCGUAACAACCAGCAAUGAAGAUUUUGUUGAGUCCUCAGACGUUCAGGGGUGUCCCGCAGAUCUAAGUCACUCUCACUGAAACAAAUAGAGGUUCCAGCGAAGGGUGGCAAUCCCCUGGAGGAACAAGAAAAUUCCAUUUGUUCCAGGCCAUUUGAUACUGUCUAAGAGUGAUGUCACUGAAACUCAGAAGUGAAGGAAGUGCAGACUGUCUUCCUGACUCUCGGGAAAAGUUAAAUCCUCCAUAAAAGUACCAAAGGGCAGAGCCAACCUGGAAUUCUACAUCCUCCAGCAUCCUCAGUCUCUGAGGUAUAAAAAACAACUCCAUCUGAGGAAGCUUCCACAUCCAUUUGAUUCUCUUCACUCCCUCCCCCACUCACCCCCAUUGCAAUCAAAUGCUUCUCAAAUCAAUGGACUCCACUGUAAUCAAAUACUUUGGAAAUCAAUAGACUCCAUCGGAUUUUGAAUACAGAGACAAAGAGAACGUUCACCGUGGUCCCUCUCUGUGAUUCUAAGUGUCUGUGACUCUACUUCAGUCAAGAAAGGAAGAAGCUGUUUUCUGCUUCUUGUUUUGAAACACCUGAAAUAUGACCCUGUUUAAUCUUUCAAUCAAAAGGAACUAAAACUGGAAUCAAGGAUUCAGUCUGCUUCUGAGCGAAGAAUCAAGACUUCAGCAAACAGAAAAAUUGGUUUGACAUUGUUGAGAAUUCAGGAUACAUCCCUGUGUUAAGCAGCACCCUCAUUCAGUUCAGAAUCUUCCCCUGGCAGCACGGUGGCAGGGAUUGUUCACACGGGCUCACUGAAAGAAAAACAUUUACCGGUGCUGAAUUGAAAUCAGAACUUCUGUUCCCUAAGCUCCUGUGCUUCAGUAGGUACAGAGAAAGAGGCCAAGAGGGAAUAAAAAGAGAAAAAAUAUCUUAUACUUAAAAGAGUUAACAGUAUCCGUGUAGGUUGAGUGUCUGAAUAAAGCUAGAAGGGGAUAUACAAAUAGCAUCUCUCCUCACACGUAUAUUUGAAAGAAGUCAAAAGUCUAUUUCUUAAGUCUCUCAGAAUAAUUCUUCAAGAAUAAUCGUUCCACUAUCAUAUGUAAAGUAGGUAGUUGGUGGGAAGCUGCUGUGUA